rnacentral:lncRNA from 1 species
CAUGGCUGGAAGGAGCAAGUAUCUGAGGGUGUGACUUGGAAGGGCGUGUUCAGGUCCCUGCUGCUCCCUUCUCUCUCUCUUCCUGAUCAACAUACAGUGAGCAUCUUUCCUCUGCCACGCUGUUUCCGCCUUGGAGCCAGCCCACCAUGGACUGAACCCAUUGAAACUGUGAGCCAAAUUCAGAUUUUUCCUGCCAGUGGAUCACACCUGCCUGAGCCCCAGAGCCAGCUCUCCUGAGUCGACUGUUCUGUGACACAGCCGCUGGCGGGGGCCAGACCUCCUCCUGACUCACCGUGCGCUGAAG